rnacentral:rRNA from 1 species
GUCGAGCGAAUUUGAUGGGAGCUUGCUCCCUGAAAAUUAGCGGCGGACGGGUGAGUAACACGUGGGCAACCUACCUGUAAGCCUGGGAUAACUUCGGGAAACCGGAGCUAAUACCGGAUAAUUUCUUUCUUCACAUGAAGAGAGGUUGAAAGACGGCUUUGCUGUCACUUACAGAUGGGCCCGCGGCGCAUUAGCUAGUUGGUGAGGUAACGGCUCACCAAGGCCACGAUGCGUAGCCGACCUGAGAGGGUGAUCGGCCACACUGGGACUGAGACACGGCCCAGACUCCUACGGGAGGCAGCAGUAGGGAAUCUUCCGCAAUGGACGAAAGUCUGACGGAGCAACGCCGCGUGAGUGAAGAAGGUCUUCGGAUCGUAAAACUCUGUUAUCAGGGAAGAACAAGUACCGGAGUUACUGCCGGUACCUUGACGGUACCUGACCAGAAAGCCACGGCUAACUACGUGCCAGCAGCCGCGGUAAUACGUAGGUGGCAAGCGUUGUCCGGAAUUAUUGGGCGUAAAGCGCGCGCAGGCGGUUCUUUAAGUCUGAUGUGAAAUCUUGCGGCUCAACCGUGAGCGGUCAUUGGAAACUGGAGAACUUGAGUGCAGAAGAGAAGAGCGGAAUUCCACGUGUAGCGGUGAAAUGCGKAGA